rnacentral:rRNA from 1 species
CUGGCGGCGUGCCUAAUACUGCAAGUCGAGCGGACCGAAAGGAGAGCUCGCUCUCCUUUCGGUCAGCGGCGGACGGGUGAGUAACACGUGGGUAACCUGCCUGUAAGACCGGGAUAACUCGCGGAAACGCGAGCUAAUACCGGAUAGGUCCCGUGGCCGCAUGGCGACGGGAGGAAAGAUGGCGCGAGCUAUCGCUUACAGAUGGGCCCGCGGCGCAUUAGCUAGUUGGUGGGGUAACGGCCCACCAAGGCGACGAUGCGUAGCCGACCUGAGAGGGUGAUCGGCCACAUUGGGACUGAGACACGGCCCAAACUCCUACGGGAGGCAGCAGUAGGGAAUCUUCCGCAAUGGGCGAAAGCCUGACGGAGCAACGCCGCGUGAGCGAAGAAGGCCUUCGGGUCGUAAAGCUCUGUUGUCAGGGAAGAACAAGUACCGGAGUAACUGCCGGUACCUUGACGGUACCUGACCAGAAAGCCCCGGCUAACUACGUGCCAGCAGCCGCGGUAAUACGUAGGGGGCGAGCGUUGUCCGGAAUCAUUGGGCGUAAAGCGCGCGCAGGCGGUCCCUUAAGUCUGAUGUGAAAUCUUGCGGCUCAACCGCAAGGGGUCAUUGGAAACUGGGGGACUUGAGUGCAGGAGAGGGAAGCGGAAU